rnacentral:rRNA from 1 species
CAAUAGCGUAUAUUAAAGCUGUUGCGGUUAAAAAGCUCGUAGUUGGAUUUCUGUCAAGUACAACUGGUCCGCCCUCCGGGUGAGCACAUAGUUUGGUCUUGGCAUCUUGCUGGAAGCUGUUGCUGCACUUGGCUGUGUGGCGCAGUGUUCAGCACUUUCACUUUGAGGAAAUUGGAGUGUUUCAAGCAGGCACAUGCCUUUGGACACAGUAGCAUGGAAUAAUUAGAUUGGGCUUUUGCUCCAAUUUGUCGGUUUCUGGAGCUGAGGUGAGUAUUAAUGGGGAUUGUUGGGGGCAUCCGAAUUUAGCCGUCAGAGGUGAAAUUCUUGGAUCUGCUAAAGACGGACAACUGCGAAAGCGUUUGCCCAGGAUGUUUUCAUUGA